ensembl:lncRNA
UCUUUUCAUUUUUUCUUUUUUUACCCAGAAUGCUCGCUUGCUGAGAGAGAGGAAGUGGAGCGCGCCGACGCUAAAACACAGGGGCAGUCCGCUAAACCUGGAUAACAGCGCGAGCGCUUGAGGAGAGCAGACGGAAGAGGAGCUGCAGCGACACCAGUGCGACAUGGAGGGAAGACGAACCCUGAGAAGGAACAAGAUCCUCUCAAAACGAGCUAAAUUUGCAAGAAAAAUGGCGACACCGCGAACAGAUCUACAUCUGAGACAAGCAAGGGGUCCAUCAUGAAGGAGUGAGUUAAAGGAGUGGAAACUGGAUUAAAGACAAGAAAUCAAGGGUCGCUGCCUGGGCAUACGCAGUAUCCAGUGUUGGAUCGUAGUAACCAUCAGCCAAAAGGUGGACUGAGCGGCCGUAGCUGAAAACCAGAAAAACCCUGAAGACUACUCUACCCCAUGCAACCGGAGAUUCACGAGGAGACAUCUGCUUUGUCAAGAAGGCGGCAAUUUUUAAAUUUUUUGGUGCGGAUUGGACUGGAAUGUCCGAUAUUUUGCUUUUGCUUCCAAUUGUUGAUGUGGGUGCAUCAGUUAUGUGAUUUUUAAAUGGAUUUGAACUGUCUUCAUGCUGUGAAAUUGAGCAUUAAAUUGAAUUGUUUUUUUUUGUUUUUUUUUCAAGGAAAGUAAAUGCUUUGUCUCAUUUCAGAUUUGAAUGUGGUUUUGAUGAUAAAUAAAAUUAUUGUAUUUUUAAAAGAAACAUGACUUUGUCCUUGGUUAGUGAAAUUGAACAAAACUUAAUUCUCAAGUUGGGUAAGCUGGUCUUUGGAUCAGUGUAAAGGUCAACAGCUCGGUUCUUUCCUGUAUAGUCAAUAUAGCUACGAUUUUCUCUACAUCCACAAGACUUACUAAUGUAGGACCUUCAUGGAUACUGGACCUUUAUGACCUUUAUAUUAUGCAAAGUUAUUAUGAUCUUUAUCUAGCCGUAAAGGGUUUCUGGACCAAUCAAUUUCAAUUUCCGUACAUUUAGCAAUUGUUUUACAAGAUAAAGCUUGCAAACUUCGUUUACAAAAAAUAGCUGGUUAGGCAAUAGCUAUCUCUUCAUUACAUUUUGCUGUAUGAACAAUGCCUUUAAG